rnacentral:rRNA from 1 species
GACGAACGCUGGCGGCGUGCCUAACACAUGCAAGUGGAGCGACGAACCAGGCUUCGGCCUGGGGCAAAGCCGCGAACGGGUGAGUAACACGUGGGUAACCUGCCCUGAUGAUUGGGACAACCCGAGGAAACUCGGGCUAAUACCAAAUGUGCCCUUCGGCCAUAAGGCCGCCGGGGAAAGGAAGCUUCGGCCUCCGCAUCUGGAUGGGCCCGCGGCCCAUUAGCUUGUUGGUGAGGUAACGGCNCACCAAGGCGACGAUGGGUAGCUGGUCUGAGAGGACGAUCAGCCACACUGGGACUGAGACACGGCCCAGACUCCUACGGGAGGCAGCAGUGGGGAAUCUUGCGCAAUGCGCGAAAGCGUGACGCAGCAACGCCGCGU